rnacentral:lncRNA from 1 species
UCGAACUUUUGGGGGGGUAAAUUGAAGAUUGUCAUUCUAAGUAUGUGGUCUAUUGAAGUUUACCCUAUUUUCAAACCAAUGAAGAGGCUAAUAACCAUGAAAGAAUAACUAAUGUCAUAGUCAUACCUGGAGCCUGCGUGCGUGAGUUCGCAACUGUUCGACAGCGCCAGAGCGGAAUGUAUCACAUGCAGCCAUCAUAACACUGACCUUGUGCUGAAGAAGCCAGUAAGCUACCUGCAUAGACAAGUUUGAAAUUAGCAAGCUUGAUCAGAAAAUAUGCCAUAAAUUACCCAAAAUCUAACAAGAUGAUCAGCUUAACCUUAGCUAGGUUGGUAGAUUUCCCAACUCCAUUAACACCAACGAAAACAACUACAUAUGGCUUCCGUUGUUCCUUGGCAGCGUGAACAUCUCUUAAUAUAUCAAUGGAACGCCUAGGAGUUAAAAUGCGAACAAGAGCCUCUUCCAUUGCAGCCUGCAGUGGUAAUUUUAGUAUGAUAUUGCUCUUAAAAAAAAUAUAUAAAAAAAAAAACAAAAACAAAAAGCAAGAAGACAAAUCGGAGAAUUCAAAUAUUAGAGGAAACUAAAAAUCAAAUACCUGCACAAUUGAAGAAAUCCUUGUAAAUGAGGCCAGCUUUUUGCCUUCAAGACUUGCUGCAACUGAUUCACAAAGUUUCUCAGCUAUCUCCUCAGCCUAAAAUGUCAGUGCUCAAGUCCAUUAACAACUUCUUAAGAAUGAUCAGAAUAGCCAAUGAAAGAAAAACUAAUAAACAUCAGAGGAAAAAGGUAAAAGAAUAAAUUGAUGUUGUCGAACUUUUGGGGGGGUAAAUUGAAGAUUGUCAUUCUAAGUAUGUGGUCUAUUGAAGUUUACCCUAUUUUCAAACCAAUGAAGAGGCUAAUAACCAUGAAAGAAUAACUAAUGUCAUAGUCAUACCUGGAGCCUGCGUGCGUGAGUUCGCAACUGUUCGACAGCGCCAGAGCGGAAUGUAUCACAUGCAGCCAUCAUAACACUGACCUUGUGCUGAAGAAGCCAGUAAGCUACCUGCAUAGACAAGUUUGAAAUUAGCAAGCUUGAUCAGAAAAUAUGCCAUAAAUUACCCAAAAUCUAACAAGAUGAUCAGCUUAACCUUAGCUAGGUUGGUAGAUUUCCCAACUCCAUUAACACCAACGAAAACAACUACAUAUGGCUUCCGUUGUUCCUUGGCAGCGUGAACAUCUCUUAAUAUAUCAAUGGAACGCCUAGGAGUUAAAAUGCGAACAAGAGCCUCUUCCAUUGCAGCCUGC